rnacentral:rRNA from 1 species
UACAGAGGGGGCGAGCGUUGUUCGGAAUUACUGGGCGUAAAGGGCGCGUAGGCGGCCCGCUAAGUCGAACGUGAAAUCCCCAGGCUCAACCUGGGAACUGCGUCCGAUACUGGCAGGCUUGAAUCCGGGAGAGGGAUGUGGAAUUCCAGGUGUAGAGGUGAAAUUCGUAGAUAUUGGGAAGAACACCGAUGGCGAAGGCAGCCAUCUGGACCGACACUGACGCUGAGGCGCGAAAGCGUGGGGAGCAAACAGG